CCUACGGGUGGCUGCAGUGGGGGAUAUUGCACAAUGGGGGAAACCCUGAUGCAGCGAAGCAGCGUGAGUGAAGAAGUCCUUAGGUAUGUAAAGCUCUAUUUGUAGGGAAGUAAAUGAAAGUACCUGACCCAGUUGCUCUGGAUAACUCCGUGCCAGCAGCCGCGGUAAUACGGAGGGGGCAAGCGUUAUCCGGAUUUACUGGGUGUAAAGGGAGUGUAGAGGGUUAUGUAAGUCUGUAGUGAAAGCCUGGGGCCCAACCCCGAGACUGCUUUUGAAACUGUGUAACUGGAGUACAGGCGGGGCAGGCGGAAUUCCUGGUGUAGCGGUGAAAUGCGUAGAUAUCACGAGGAACACCGGCGGCGAAGGCAGCCUACUAGACUGAAACUGACGUUGAUGCUCGAAAGCGUGGGUAGCAAACAGGAUUAGAUACCCUAGUAGUC
rnacentral:rRNA from 1 species